rnacentral:rRNA from 1 species
AGARAGUUUGAAAAUUAAAGAUUUUGGCGGUGUUUUAUCUAGGUAGAGGAACUUGUCCUUUAAUAGAUGAUCCUCUUAGGAUCUUACUUAAUUUUAUACUCAUAUAUCGUUGUUGUUAGAUUAUUUAGAAAGGGUUUUAAAUUUUCUGCUUAAAAUAAGUUAUUUUUUACUUCAAAUCAAGGUGUGGUUAAUAUUUAAGUAGAGAUGAGUUACAUUUUUUUAAUUAUUGGAAUUUUAUUUUGAAAAGAGAAAUGAAGCUGGAUUUACUAGUAAAUUUAAAUUAAUGAGUUAUUUUGAAUUAAGCUCUGGAACAUGUACAUAUCGCCCGUCACUCUAAUUAAUAAAGUUAGAUAAGUCGUAACAAAGUAGAUUUAAGGGAACUUGAAUCUGGUUAG